GACGAAGGAUCCAAGCGUUAUCCGGAUUCAUUGGGUUUAAAGGGUGCGUAGGCGGGUAAAUAAGUCAGUGGUGAAAUCCUAUCGCUUAACGAUGGAACUGCCAUUGAUACUGUUGACCUAGAGUACAGAUGAUGUUGGCGGAAUAUGACAUGUAGCGGUGAAAUGCAUAGAUAUGUCAUAGAACACCGAUUGCGAAGGCAGCUGACAAAACUGUAACUGACGCUGAUGCACGAAAGUGCGGGGAUCAAACAGG
rnacentral:rRNA from 1 species